GCCAGUGAGUAAACAAUGACUUGUCCCAGGAAGGAGGAAAAGGAACAAGCAGGUGUGACCUUCUCCUCCCCGCCCCCUUCCUUUCUCCCCUCUGGGUCUAGAGCAGUGGGAACGCACUUGGCUU
rnacentral:miRNA from 14 species